rnacentral:ncRNA from 1 species
CGACGUCUCGGCGCGGUUCCGAGCGGUCGCUCCCUCGCGAGGUGCCGCGGGUCAGCGGCUGACGCCAGCCACCUUCCCGACCCGUCUUGAAACACGGACCAAGGAGUCUAACAUGUGCGCGAGCCGCGGGGCAGUACGAAACCCGUAAGGCGAAAUGAAGGUGAACGCCGGCGCGGUCCGGCGGAGGUUGGAUCCCGUCCCGUCGGGGCGGGCGCACUACCGGCCGAUCUUCUCCGCCCUGUCGGCGAGGUCGAGCGAGAGCGUGCAAGUCGGGACCCGAAAGAUGGUGAACUAUGCCUGAGGAGGUUGAAGCCAGAGGAAACUCUGGUGGAGGACCGUAGCGAUUCUGACGUGCAAAUCGAUCGUCAAAUUUGGGUAUAGGGGCGAAAGACUAAUCGAACCGUCUAGUAGCUGGUUCCCUUCGAAGUUUCCCUCAGGAUAGCUGGCGCUCUGUCGCAGUUUUAUCUGGUAAAGCGAAUGAUUAGAGGUCUUGGGGGCGAAACGCCCUCAACCUAUUCUCAAACUUUAAAUUGGUAAGAAGCCCGACUCGCUCGUUUGGAGCCGGGCAUGGAAUGCGAGUGCCAAGUGGGCCACUCUUGGUAAGCAGGACUGGCGAUGCGGGAUGAACCGAACGCCGGGUUAAGGCGCCCGACGCGACGCUCAUCAGAGCCCACAAGAGGUGUUGGUUGAUAUAGA